AUGAAAUGAGUCUACUCUUCCCAAGACACAUUUGUUUAGCUUCUGGCCAACUGGACUCUUGUGCUGCCAUUUUGCUGCAGGUCUGGAGCAUCACUCACAAGAACUGGCUGACUUUUGUCCUGUUGAUCUGGCCAUGCAUCAUUUGGAUGGCUCGUAACAGGUGACGCUUGGCCCUGCUCAGCUCACCCUUCCUUGUCAUCUAUGCAAAUAUCCUCAUUCUUCUUAACUUUUUUGUGGCUCUCAAAGUUUCCCAGGAAGAAUUAUUUCCAGGAGUUUCACUUCAAUCCUCAUUGGCUUUGAUCUAAAGCCUUAUCCCCAGCCCUGUUUCUAUAUUGGUGUCAAGGUUAAGAGACAUAGGGCUGGAACAAUUUGAUACAGUGGAGCUGUUUGCAAAGAUUAUGCUACCUGUGGCUUUUCUCCUGGCAUGCAUCCUACAGCUGCAUUACUUUAAUGAAGACUUUCUCAAGAUCACCAGCCUGAAUAAUACUCCAAUCAGUUUGGAAGGCACACCUGACAGAAAUAAGACGAUUGAAAAUGAUGUACAUCUUCUGGCAGAUGUGUGAGUCUCUUAUUUUCUUUUAACUUUUUGCAGAAACUUUCUCACCAGCUAUC
rnacentral:lncRNA from 1 species